rnacentral:rRNA from 1 species
CCUACGGGAGGCAGCAGUGGGGAAUAUUGCACAAUGGGGGAAACCCUGAUGCAGCGACGCCGCGUGAGUGAAGAAGUAAUUCGUUAUGUAAAGCUCUAUCAGCAGGGAAGAAAAUGACGGUACCUGAGUAAGAAGCCCCGGCUAACUACGUGCCAGCAGCCGCGGUACUACGUAGGGGGCAAGCGUUAUCCGGAUUUACUGGGUGUAAAGGGAGCGUAGACGGCAGUGCAAGUCUGGAGUGAAAGGCGGGGGCUCAACCCCCGGACUGCUCUGGAAACUGUACGGCUGGAGUGCAGGAGAGGUAAGUGGAAUUCGUAGUGUAGCGGUGAAAUGCGUAGAUAUUAGGAGGAACACCAGUGGCGAAGGCGGCUUACUGGACUGUAACUGACGUUGAGGCUCGAAAGCGUGGGGAGCAAACAGGAUUAGAUACCCCAGUAGUC